GGGCACCGAAGAAGCAAGCCACAACCCCAUGGCACACCCUGCAAGGGGGACAAGGGAACUUUUCCCGUUUCAUUACCACAUGUGGCUAUUGAGCAUUGAAAUGUGGCUAGUCUGAAAUUAGAUAUGCUACAGGUGUCAUAUUUACACCAAGGUUUGAAGACUUGAUAUGGGAAAAGGAAUGUAACAUAUUCCAUUAGUAAAAUUUAUAUUGAUUACAUCUUGGAAUCUAUGUUUUAGAUAUAUUGGGUUAAAAUUACUCAAUUACUAAAAGUAAUUUCACCUCUUUUUUUUUUUUUUUUUUUGAGACAGAGUCUCACUCCGUCUCCCAGACUGGAGUGCAGUAGUGUGAUCUCAGCUCACUGCAACCUCCACCAGUUGAAGUGAUUUUCUUGCCUCAGCCUUCCGAGUAGCUGGGACUACAGGUGCAUGCCACCACACCUGGCUAGUUUUUGUAUUUUAGUAGAGACAAAGUUUCAUCCUGUUGGCCAGGCUGAUCUUGAACUCCUGACCUUAAGUGAUCUGCCCGCCUCAUCCUCCCAAAGUGCUGGGAUUACAGGCACGAGCCACUGUGCCCAACCCACCUGUUUCUUUUUACUUUUUAACACAGCUGCUAGAAAAUUUCGAGUAAUGCAUGUGGGUGACUCACAUUAUAUUUUUUGGAUAGCAUAGGUCUACAGAGCAGCUAGCGUAAAGAAGGAAAGAGAAAGGGGAUCUUGGAGCUCUUCUAAAACCUGGGAUGUCUCUGCCUGUUAAUAAGAAGAGUGACAGCUUUCACAGUGACUCACAACUUUCAGGAUGCUCUGAUUCUGGGCAACGUUUUUUGAGAAGCUGGACACACUGGGCCUGAGGAGCAUCUUUGGUGCUCUUGAGUACAAGUUUCUGAUAACUUUGGAGAUUGUGACAUCAGAAUAGAGGAAAAACUUUUAGGACUCAUGGAGAAGUGAAAUGUUCAUGAACAUCAGGCAGAACAGGAAUUAACUGCAUGGACAGAACUAAUACAAAACUGAGGUAAUCUUUUUGACUUUUUGCUUAAAAUGCUGCUGAUCCUUUGUUUCGUUUUUCCAGAGUCAGGAAACUUCUUUUGCACUAUUGACAGCUUUUAACAAUUUAGUAUACUCCUAUGAACAAAAUUUAAAAUAUAUUUGUUUCUCUCUACCUGAUUUCUCCAGAAUUUGGAAACUAUUUGUGAAUAUUCUUAACUUAUGGCAACACAGUUAUUUGCAUAAGUGCAAUAAGAAUCUGUUUUCAGACACAAUUGGAGAAACUGGUUAUUUUGCCAAGGCUUUGACUGGAAUGGUGUGCUUUCCUUUAAAAAACCAAACUUGACUUAUGGAGCCAAUAAAAGCCCCUUGGAAAUACUGGCCUCAUACCUAGUCUACACAGUUCCUGUACAGGGUUCCUGACCUGUGGUAAGUGAAGCAUGUCACUUUCUGACAGGCCCAGGAACCCCAAGUUUAUAUUGGAACCUCAAGAGGAGAGGAAUUCACCCAACUCAUAGGUAUUUGAUGGUACAAAUCCAUGGCUGAGCUUGGCUUUUAAAAAGUCUUAUCCGAGAUUCCUUCUAUGGAACAAAUUUCCAUCAAAGCCAAUUUAAAAGCCUAUGUAAAAAAAUAAUUAUUCUUGCUGCACUUUAUAGAAAUAAUCAUGCCAAGUAUAACAAAGCAAAUCGGUCCUACCAUGAUUUCUCUUUAGUAGAAAUGGGAAACUGCAGAGAGAAAAAUUACGUUUCAGAAACUAUAGUACACCUGUUGUUAGACUCUAGCCUUGCCUAAUGUUUUUCAAUUGUUAUUAUUUUUUACAGUUUGGACUGAAUUCUAAUUUUUCUUGGCUACAAGUCUUCAAAAUAAUGUUUUCAAGUUUUUUCCUUCUUUUUUUCCCCCAUUUUUCCUAAUUUGGAGUCACUGAAAACUAAGCUGUGCUUUUGUAAACCCUGCAAACUGAAGCCAGACAACUUAAACUUUAGAAGAAAAUAACAGCAACCUGCUUACAUACAUAAGGCACUUUCAUCCCUGCCUACUGAUAUAUAAACUUCAGAGUAAUGUGGCCUAUAUCGAUUUUCCAGGAUUGUUCUUUUGUUUGUUGUUGUUUUUAUCCCUUCCUCCCCCAUUUUCUCUUCAUAGGACAUGAGACUUCACAACCUGCUAAAAAUGAACUUUCCUAAUAACUGGGGACCUACCCGUCUAGGAAUAAACCAUCCUAGCCAUGACAGAUCAGAUGAAACCUGAGACCAGAGACUCAUUUUCUCCUAAAAUGCUUUCUCCAAAAGAUUUUUAAAAAGAAAAGGGGGAAAAUAUGAAUGGAAAAUAAAUCUUGGGGCCCCAACAUCACUAAGCUAAAGGGAAAAGUCAAGCUGGGAACUGCUUAGGGCCAACCUGCCUCCCAUUCUAUUCAAAGUCACCUCUCUGCUCACUGAGAUAAGUGUAUAUCUGACUGCCUCAUUUGGAGAGGCUAAUCAGAAACUCAAAAGAAUGCAACCAUUUGUCUCUUAUCUACCUAUGACCUGGAAACCCCCUCCGCACUUUGAGUUGUCCCACCUGUGAAAGGAAAAUAAAUCUUGGGGCCCCCAAAUCACUAAGCUAAAGGGAAAAGUCAAGCUGAGAACUGCUUAGGGCCAACCAUCCUCUCAUUCUAUUCACAGUCACCCCUCUGCUCACUGAGAUAGAUGCUAUCUGAUUGCCUCCUUUGGAAAGGCUAAGCAGAAACUCAAAAGAAUGCAACUUUCCAUCUCUCACCUAUCUGUGACCUGGAAGCCCAGUCCCUGCUUUGAGUCUUCCUGCCUUUGCUUCAAGCUGUCCCGCCUUUCCAGACCAAACCAAUGUACUUCUUACAUAUAUUGAUGUCUCAUGUCUCAUGUCUCCCUAAAAUGUAUAAAACUAAACUGUGCCCCUACCACCUUGGGCACAUGUCGUCAGGACUUCCUGAGGCUGUGUCAUGGGCACAUCCUCUACCCUGGCAAAAUAAACUUUCUAAAUUAACUGGGACCUACCUCAAAUUAUCUGGGUUCACACGCCUUUGCCUCGAGUUGUCCCACCUUUCCGGACUGAACCAAUGUACAUCUUAACACAUACUGAUUGAUGUCUAAUGUCUCUCUAAAAUGUAUAAAACCAAGCUGUGCUCUGACCACCUUAGGCACUUGUCAUCAGGAUCUCCUGAGGCCAUAUUAUGGGUGCACGUCCUCAACCUUGGCAAAAUAAGCUUUCUAAAUUAACUGAGACGUGUCUCAGAUUUUCGGGAUUCACAAUCUCCACUCUUCACCAAACCUACAAUAAAAAACCCUCAGCUUCUCAGCUUUAACUGUUUCUUCGGGUCUUCAUUUUCUUAUGAAGGUUCAUGUGUCACAUAAAACUUUAAAAAAUUUGUACACUUUUCUCUCAUUAAUCUGUCUUCUGUUAUAGGGCCUCAGCCAUGAACUUGGAAUGGGUAGAUUAAAAAAAAUAUUUUUCCUCCCCUACACAUUUUUUUUUUUUUUUUUGAGACGGAGUCUCAGUCUGUUGACCAGGCUCAAGUGCAAUGGCGUGGUCUUGGCUCACUGCAACCUCUGCCUCCCAGUUUAAGCAAUUAUCCUGCCUCAGCCUCCUGACUAGCUGGGACUACAGGCGCGUGCCACCACACCUGGCUAAUUUUUUUGUAUUUUUAGUAGAGAUCGGGUUUCAUCAUGUUGGCCAGGCUGGUCUUGAACUCCUGACCUCAUGAUCCGCCCGCCUCGGCCUCGCAAAGUGCUGAGAUUACAGGCGUGAGCCACCACACCUGGCCCUCCCCUACACAUUUCUAAGUAUCUUACCUGAUUUUCUAUGGCACCUUUGGGUUGCAGAACCUUAGCUGUAGGAGAAAUGGUGGUGACGGCCAAUGUCUGGCACUGACUUUAACAGAGUACAGAUGUGUAUGUAAAUAGUACUUAUUUUAACAAAAUAGAAAGUUCAAGAAAGAAAUACAGCAACAAAAGUGACAAUUAGAUUGGAAGAGACCCAUUCUUGUUUGCUUGUUUUCUCCAUAAGCCAUCUAGCUUUUUUUUUUUUUUUUGUGAGACGGUCUCACUGUCUCCCAGGCUGGAGUGCAGUGGUGCCAUCACAGCUCACCUCAGCCUUGACCUCCCAGGCUCAAGUGAUCCUCCCACCUUAGCCUCUCAAGUAGCUGGAAGUAUAGGCAUGUACCACCAUGCCCAGCUAAUUUUUUUUUAUUUUUCAUGGAGACAGGGUCUCACUAUAUUGCCCAAGCCAGUCUUGAAUUCCUGGGCUGAAGCGAUCCUCCUGCCUCAGCCUCCCAAAAUGUUGGGAUUAUAGUCAUGAGCUACCAUGCCCAGCCCUAACUCCAUUCUUAAUUGUCACUUAGCCUACACUUUCACUUCAUUGACAUUUAUAGGCUGACAACAAGCAGAUGAAGAUACCAUUGAAACAGUGCCACCACUCACCCAACUGUCCUGUCAGUCAGGAAAAGCACAUCCCCACUGGGUCUCAGAGCUCUCGGCCCGUUGUCUUUGCACUGUGUGACCACACACAAAACCAGGUAAAGUAUUUACCUGCUUUGUUCAGGAGGCUGUCCUUGGCUCUCUAGUUUCUGAUAGGACCCCAUUUUAAACUCUCAAGCCCCCUUGUCCUUGUUCUUUGAUAGUGUCAUAGCCUCUAAACAUAUCACAAUUAUUAAUAUAAUUAAAUACUUAUUUCCCUAUAGAUUUGUUUAAAGCCUGCCUUCCCCCAAGAGAUGGUCAGGUCUGAAGGCAGGUUUGUUACAGAUGACAGGCUCUUGGGCUCAUCAUGUAAUAAAAGUUAACAUGGGGACAAGCAGAUUUCCAGAAAAGGCUUUUAUCUUGGGGCUUGUGCUCGAGUGCAGGGGAGACACCAGAGGUACAAGGACCCUCAAGCUGACUCCCUGAAAAGGUGGUAGGGAUUUUUUUUAUUAGGCAAACACAGGAAUUGGUAUCAUGGGUAGGGUAUGCAGGCUGGCCUGGGCAAAGCACGUGACGGGUAGGGGAUGCUGGUUAGCGUAUCUAGUUGUGAUGGUUAUCUUGAGUAAUGGGCCACCUGGGGGUCUGGCCAGCUGUAACAAGGCUGCAAAUCAAUUGUUCAGGGUUCCUUCCCUUCCCAUGAUGGGACAUUCUGAAACCUCGGUUUGAUGUUUAGAUUUCCUAAGGCCAGUUCCUGGAAUUCUUUUAAGUAAAAGGCAUGAUUAAACAUUAUGAGAGCACAGAAGAAUGGCUAUUUUCUUUGUAAGCCUGAAGCCUUAUCUAAAACCAAUUGUCAGCAAGGCAGGGGUGUGGGUCUUGUGAUCAGUGAGACAAGAAGAAAAAAAAAAACGUGAAAAAGGAACUGAGUUCCUUUUCUAUUCUAUCUGAGGUUACUCCCCACUGCACCCCCGGCACCUGACAUUGUGAGAGGCAUUUGAACCAGAGUGACUCCAUCUUGAAUAGGGGCUGGGUAAAAUGAAUCUGAGACCUACUGGGCUGCAUUCCCAGGAGGUUAGGCAUUCUUAGUCACAGGAUGAGAUAGGAGGUUGGCAGGACUGGUAUCACAAGAUACAGGUCAUAAAAACUCUGACCAUAAAACAAGAUGUGGUAUAGAAGCCAGCCAAAACCAAGAUGGUGAGAAAAGUGACCUCUAGUCAUCCUCACUGCUCAUUAUACUCAAAUUAUAAUGCAUUAGCAUGCUUAAAGAAAUUUCCACUAGCACCAUGACAGCUUACAAAUGCCAUGGCAGUGUUCAGAAGUUACCCUAUAUAGUCUAAAAAGGGGAGGAACCCUCAGUUCCAGGAAUUCCCCACCCCUUUCCCAGAAAACUCAUGAAUGAUCUACCCUUUAUUUAGCAUAUGAUCAAGAAAUAACCAUAAGUAUACCCAGUCAGCAGCGCGUGCCGCUGCUGUGUCUAUGGAGUAGCCAUUCUUUUGUCUCUUUUACUUCUCUAAUAAACUUUAUUCUAUGAAUUUGCCCCCAAAUUCUUUCUUGCGCAAGAUCCAAGAACCCUCUUUUGGGGUCUGGACUGGGACCCCUAUCACCAUGCCUGGCUCAAGAAACAUUUGUUGAGUAAUGAUUUAUAGUGACUUUCUAUGUGCUCAUGUCUCACUCUUGUUCCAGUACCUGUAUGCUAAGCAGCCAUGCUACUGUCCUUCUGUGCUUCCCUACAUUCCAAGUUCAAGGGGACAGGAUGGUUUAUUGUUUCUUAAGUGCUUGUCUUUCUGGUCCUGUUUACAUGCAUCAUUAGCCCACAGGAAAGCACUCUGUUACAAAUGACUUUAGAAAUCACAAUCAUUAAAAUUGAAAACUUCCAUUUAAGCCAGACUACCCCUUUGUGAUGUUAAAAGUGUUGCCUCUGAGCUUCCAACCCCCUCUCUAUGAGGCCUAUUCCAGCUUUUAACCUACCGUGGGUGCGGGCUUUUCAUUUGGAGCCUCUUGUGAUCUUCAAGCUGUAAUUUUCGCAAGCAGGGCCCUAAAGCUCUUUAAUUUUUUUGUUUACCAGAAUUACUCAUUUCAUUUUUGUAUGUGCUUGGUAGAUGAAUUUUCUGUGGCAUCUUACAAAAUAAGGCCAUAAUACCUUAUGGCAUUAAAAAAAAGUUGGGGGGGGAGCAAAACCACCACAAAAAAAUUAACUGAACAAUUAAAAUAUUUAAAUUAGUAUUAGAAAGCUUAAAUGUAGGCAACAACUAAGUCAUCUCAAGCACAUUCAACAGGAAAAAGUAGAAAACAUACUAGAUAAGAACGUCAGAGAAUGGGGCAAGGACUGGGGGAGGUGAAGGAGGUGCAGAGCUGGAUCCUGUCUUUAUUUGAAAAUUUGAUUUUGUGUUCAAAUGUGAAUUAUUUCAUUUUGAUUUUUUUUUUUUUUUUUUUUGAGACGGAGUCUUGCUCUUGUCGCUCAGGCUGGAGUGCAAUGGUGCAAUCUCAGCUCACUGCAACCUCCGCCUCCCGGGCUCAAGCAAUUCUCCUGCUUCAUCCUCCCAAGUAGCUGGGAUUACAGGCACGGGCCACCAUGCC
rnacentral:lncRNA from 10 species